rnacentral:misc_RNA from 1 species
CCUAAGAGAUACGUGUUAUGUGCAGUGCUCACACAGAUUGUCUGAUGAAGAACGAGCAAAAGCGCGUCUGCGAAGCUGACAAAAGUCCCCUUCGUCUAGAGGCCUAGGACACCGCCCUUUCACGGCGGUAACAGGGGUUCGAAUCCCCUAGGGGACGCCAAUGCGCGGUAUGAGUGAAAGGCGUACCACUUAUCUGACGAGAGUCAGAGAAUAACUAAGCUAAUUCAAAUGAGUUAUCUUACUUAUUAUGCUCUUUAACAAUCUGGAACAAGCUGAAAAAUUGAAAACAAAUCAAUAUAUCACCGAGGUAUAUUGAUGAGUCUCUCAAAAUCUCAAACCUUAAAGUUUGUCACGCAAAGUUUAUCUUUGAAAGAGACACUUUCGGGUUGUGA